GUUGCUGUUGUUUAGUGCUUAUCACGUCAGUCUUACACACUGAAGGCCCCUUAUUCGACGGCGGCAGCAACA
rnacentral:tRNA from 1 species